GAUGAACGCUGGCGGCGUGCCUAACACAUGCAAGUCGAACGAAGCGCUUUGAAGUUUUCGGACGGAUGAGUGACUGAGUGGCGGACGGGUGAGUAACGCGUGGGUAACCUGCCUCAUACAGGGGGAUAACAGUUAGAAAUGACUGCUAAUACCGCAUAAGCGCACAGCAUCGCAUGAUGCAGUGUGAAAAGCCGAGACGGUAUGAGAUGGACCCGCGUCUGAUUAGAUAGUUGGUGGGGUAACGGCCGUACCAAGGCGACGAUCAGUAGCCGGCCUGAGAGGGUGAACGGCCACAUUGGGACUGAGACACGGGCCCAAACUCCUACGGGAGGCAGCAGUGGGGAAUAUUGGGGCAAUGGGGGGAAACCCUGACCCAGCAACGCCGCGUGGAGGAAGAAGGCCUCGGUGUAAC
rnacentral:rRNA from 1 species